rnacentral:lncRNA from 1 species
GACUAUAUGGACUUCAGCAACACUAAUACAGCAACAGAGAAGAAAAUCCCUUCAACAACAGUAAGAUGCACAAAGGAACAGCAACUCUGCUACAGCAGACUGUUUCAUGAUAAGUGCCAAGUGGAGAACAGAACUGCCAGCUAUUCCUUUGCAAAAUGCUCCUGGCAAGGAUGGGCCCAUUGUUGUACCAGCCUUGACCGUCCUGGCCACCCAAGUCACUCUGACUGGUACCCUCUCUGAACUGCUUGCACUGCUGCCUGGCACACUGAGCAAUAAAAUGACUUGAUUUCUUUAAUUUGAAUUUCA